rnacentral:rRNA from 1 species
CCUACGGGUGGCAGCAGUGGGGAAUAUUGGGCAAUGGGCGCAAGCCUGACCCAGCAACGCAGCGUGAAGGAAGAAGGCUUUCGGGUUGUAAACUUCUUUUCUGAGGGACGAAAAAAGUGACGGUACCUCAGGAAUACGCCACGGCUAACUACGUGCCAGCAGCCGCGGUAAUACGUCGGUGGCAAGCGUUAUCCGGAUUUAUUGGGUGUAAAGGGCGUGUAGGCGGGAAAGCAAGUCAGAUGUGAAAGUUCAGGGCUCAACCCUGAGCCUGCAUUUGAAACUGUUUUCCUUGAGUGCUGGAGAGGCAAGCGGAAUUCCGUGUGUAGCGGUGAAAUGCGUAGAUAUACGGAGGAACACCAGUUGCGAAGGCGGACUGCUGGACAGUAACUGACGCUGAGGCGCGAAAGCGUGGGUAGCAAACAGGAUUAGAUACCCCAGUAGUC